GAUGAACGCUGGCGGCGUGCCUAAUACAUGCAAGUCGAGCGAACAGACGAGGAGCUUGCUCCUCUGACGUUAGCGGCGGACGGGUGAGUAACACGUGGAUAACCUACCUAUAAGACUGGGAUAACUUCGGGAAACCGGAGCUAAUACCGGAUAAUAUAUUGAACCGCAUGGUUCAAUAGUGAAAGACGGUUUUGCUGUCACUUAUAGAUUGAUCCGCGCCGCAUGAGCUAGUUGGUAAGGUAACGGCUUACCAAGGCAACGAUGCGUAGCCGACCUGAAAGGGUGAACGGCCACCCUGGAACUGAGAAACGGUCCAGACUCCUACGGGGGGCAGCAGUAGGGAAUCUUACGCAAUGGGCGAAAGCCUGACGGAGCAACGCCGCGGGAGUGAUGAAGGUCUUCGGAUCGUAAAACUCUGUUAGUAGGGAAGAACAAAUGUGUAAGUAACUGUGCACGUAUUGACGGUACCUAAUCAGAAAGCCACGGCUAACUACGUG
rnacentral:rRNA from 1 species